UCAGAUUGAGUGGGUGCUCUCAUUGGCC
rnacentral:piRNA from 1 species